rnacentral:siRNA from 1 species
UCCCUGUCGUUGUCUACGA